CAUUAGAUAACUAAAAUAAGUACUGGUCUCUUAAACCAUUAAUAGUAAUUCUCCUACUUCUAAUGA
rnacentral:tRNA from 2 species